rnacentral:piRNA from 1 species
GAGUUGUUGACACCACGGGCAGA